UCAGGAUGAACGCUGGCGGUAAGGGUAACAUAUGCAAGUCGAACGAAGUUUUUCGGAACUUAGUGGCGGACGGGUGAGUAACGCGUGAGAAUCUGCAUUAAGGAUUGGGACAACAGUGGGAAACCGCUGCUAAUACCAAAUAUGCCUUUUAGUGAAACGGGUAAAACCGCCUUAAGAUGAGCUCGCGUCUGAUUAGCUAGUAGGUGUGGUAAGAGCGCACCUAGGCGACGAUCAGUAGCUGGUCUGAGAGGACGACCAGCCACACUGGGACUGAGACACGGCCCAGACUCCUACGGGAGGCAGCAGUGAGGAAUUUUCCGCAAUGGGCGGAAGCCUGACGGAGCAAUACCGCGUGAGGGAGGAAGGUUCUUGGAUUGUAAACCUCUUUUCUCAGAGAAGAAUAAUGACGGUAUCUGAGGAAUAAGCAUCGGCUAACUCCGUGCCAGCAGCCGCGGUAAUACGGAGGAUGCAAGCGUUAUCCGGAAUGAUUGGGCGUAAAGGGUCUGUAGGUGGUUGUUCAAGUCUGCUGUUAAAGCGUCUGGCUUAACCAGAUAAAGGCGGUGGAAACUGAACGACUAGAGUGCGGUAGGGGUAGAGGGAAUU
rnacentral:rRNA from 1 species